AUGGCGACGCUGCAGGACCUCGGGGUGUCGGCCUUCAUCAACAUCCUGGGGGCCUUCGUCUUCCUCCUGCUCUUCGCCGUGCUCCGCAUCCAGCCCAUCAACGACCGCGUCUACUUCCCCAAGCUCUACAUCGCCGGGAAGCGCGCCGCCGACCACCGCGGCGCCCGCAGGGCCAUCAACCUCAACCUCUGCACCUACUUCAAGUUCCUCAGCUGGGUGCCCGGCGCGCUCCGCAUGACCCAGACCGAGCUCAUACACCACGCCGGCCUCGACUCCGCCGUCUACCUCCGAAUCUACACGCUCGGCCUCAAGAUUUUUCUGCCCGUCAUGGUUGUCGCCUUGCUGGUUCUCAUUCCGGUCAAUGUCUCUGGUGGGACACUACUGAACCUGAGAAAAGAUGUUAUGUUCAGUGAUAUUGAUAAGCUGUCCAUAUCAAAUGUUAGCCCGGGCUCCAACAGGUUCUUUAUUCAUCUUCUAAUGGCAUAUGUGUUCACAUUUUGGACGUGCUUUAUGCUGUACCAAGAGUACAGUAAUGUGGCGUUCAUGAGAUUGCAUUUCCUGGCUUCUCAGAAACGUUGUGCUGAUCAGUUCACUGUGAUUGUUAGAAACAUACCUCGUGUUUCAAGCCAUUCGACGUCUGAGACAGUUGAUGAGUUCUUCCGCAGGAACCAUCCAGACCACUAUCUUGGUCAGCAGUCUGUUUACAAUGCAAACCGGUAUGCUAAACUUGUAAAGCAAAAGGAGAGACUUCAAAACUGGCUGGAUUACUACCAGCUGAAGUUUGAAAGGCAUCCUGAGAAAAGACCAACUGGAAGGACAGGAUGCUUUGGUUUCUGUGGUAGAAAAGUGGAUCAAAUCGACUACUACCGGGCUAGAAUUAGCGAACUUGAUAAGAGGAUUGCAUCGGAGCGUCACAGAGUUCUGAAUGAUCCAAAAGCCGUUAUGCCAGUUUCUUUUGUGACAUUUGACUCAAGAUGGGGUGCUGCUGUAUGUGCACAGACACAACAGUCAAAGAAUCCCACACAAUGGCUGACCAAUUGGGCUCCUGAACCACGCGACGUUUAUUGGCAGAAUCUUGCUAUUCCAUUUUUCUCUCUGAGUAUACGCAAGUUUCUCAUAUCAAUCGCGGUCUUUGCUUUGGUGUUCUUCUACAUGAUACCUAUUGCAUUUGUGCAAUCACUUGCCAAUCUUGAGGGUAUUGAAAGAGUCGCGCCUUUCUUGAGGCCAGUAAUAGAAGUAAAGGUGGUGAAGUCCUUCCUGCAGGGUUUCCUUCCCGGUCUGGCUUUGAAGCUCUUUCUCUAUAUCCUCCCUACGGUUCUUAUGAUCAUGUCAAAAGUUGAAGGCUAUGUCUCUUUGUCAUCUCUGGAAAGAAGAACUGCUUCGAAAUAUUACUACUUCAUGCUGGUGAAUGUAUUUCUUGGAAGCAUAAUUGCUGGCACAGCUUUUGAACAGCUGGACUCUUUUUUUCACGAUCCUCCUUCACAAAUACCAAGGACCAUUGGAGUGGCUGUACCAAUGAAAGCAACAUUCUUCAUGACAUACAUAAUGGUCGAUGGCUGGGCCGGCAUCGCCAACGAGAUUCUUCGAGUGAAGCCACUGGUCAUCUACCAUCUGAAGAACAUGUUCAUCGUGAAAACCGAGCGUGACAGGGAGAGGGCGAUGGAUCCACGCAGCAUUGCGCUUGGAGAAAACCUUCCAUCCCUGCAGCUGUACUUCCUCCUUGGGCUCGUGUACGCGGUGGUCACCCCCAUUCUCCUCCCUUUCAUAAUCGUCUUCUUCGCCUUCGCCUACCUUGUCUACAGGCAUCAGAUCAUCAAUGUGUACAACCAGGAGUACGAGAGCGCGGCGGCAUUCUGGCCUCAGGUCCAUUCGCGCAUCAUAGCGAGCCUGCUCAUCUCUCAUGUGACUCUCUUUGGGCUGCUAAGCACAAUGAAGGCCGCCUACUCCACUCCGCUGCUCAUCUUCCUGCCAUUGCUGACAAUAUGGUUCCACAAGUACUGCAAGAGUCGGUUCGAACCCGCGUUCCGAAAGUAUCCUCUAGAGGAGGCUAUGGAGAAGGACAGGAUGGAGCACGCAUCGGAGCCAAGCCUGAACCUCAAGACCUACCUAGCAAAUGCAUACCUGCACCCCAUCUUCCACAUGUUUGAGCAGGAGGAUCAGAAAGAGGAGGCCACCAUAGAGGUGAGAAUCGACAAAUCGGAGCAUCAGCAGCAGCAGCAUGUGAGAAGCUCACACUCACAGUAUGAGGAGGAGACGAGCGCACAGACGCAUUACCACCAUGAGGAGAGGACCAGCAGCCAGUACCAGUACCAGUACCAGCACCAGUAUCAGUACCAGCUUGAGGAAACUCACAUGAGGAGUGAGCAGUCGCCGCCACACUUUGUCUACCACCCUGGAGUCGAUCAUUGA
rnacentral:rRNA from 1 species